UGAGUAUUAACCUCGCUGAAUCUGUCACUUUUUUUGCGGGGAACAUCUGUAAGACUGGAGACUGCUCUUUCCCCCUACAGGUAACAAAGGAGCAAGGCUUUCUCUGUGGGAUAGCUGUGAACUGAUGCUGCUGGCAUUUUCCUUGGAGUUUUAAGGGGCGCCGUAGCCUGGAGAUGGAAACGGCAGUGGCGGGUGACCGCGUCGAUCUGAAUUUGGAAGUUGUGUGGCAGAUUCAGCGUCUUCAGGAGGAGCUCAGAGCGUUAUCAUCGUCUUUUCCCCAAAGGCCUUUUCCUGCCUAUUCUUCAGACUGGGAACAUCUUGAGCUUAUCGCUUGACUGUUUAUAGAAGGUAAACUUGAUUUCGCAGAGGACUAAACAGUGGGAGAAGUAAUUAUCCCUUACUUCAGUUUUUAAAUUAACAUAUAGGAAGGUUGACUUAUAGGUAUGUACAGAUCUACAAAUUUUAACAUAUAGAUUCAUGUAAUCACCACUCUAGGCAGGAUAUGGAACAGUUCCUUCAUCCCCCUAAAGCUCCCGAAUGCUAGCCCUGUGUUGUAAUACACCCCCACCCCAAAACCCUGGCUACCACUGAUGUGUUUCUCCAUCGUUAUACUUUUAUUUUUUUGAGAAUGUCAUAUACAUGGAAACAUACAGGAGGUAACUUUGAAACUGGCCUCUUUCGCUCAGCAAAUGCCUUCGAGAUUCAUUACGCUGUUGUGUCUGUCCAAGUUCAUGUAAGCACAUUUUUAAAUUUAAGAAUUGCUCCCUGAUUUUAUUCAGGUUAGUUCUCUAAGCAGGCUUCGUAAUAGUGUAGUAACAGUAUAAUUUUUGCGCAAUUAAAUCGCCUUUGGUCAAAUGACUGACAGUGAUUAACAUGUUUCUCUUACCCAGUUUUUAAUCUGUUUCUUCCGGUGAAAAAAGUAGAGAAGCAAGAAGUAGAUGGUGAUUUCUAAACCAGCAUUACAUCUCUGAAUUCUGAAACCAGAA
rnacentral:lncRNA from 1 species